rnacentral:lncRNA from 1 species
AGCAGCAGCAGCAACCAUCUUCCAGCCAUCGCCGAACUAACAGCAGGGACCUUGAAUCCCAGUUUGCAAACCUCUCCUUGAAACAAAAGGAUGCCAUUCCUUGUCGUGAUCCUGUGACAGGUCCACUCCGCACUUAGAUAAAUAAAUUAACCAGAGAUUUGUUGUGCCACCAUUUUGCUUAGUUGGGCUACCACAUUAACCAUCAUUAUUUUCUCCUCGAGUGGGGUAAAGCCGAGUUCCUC